rnacentral:lncRNA from 1 species
CCCAUAACAGUUUUGUUAAUAAAACAAAGCUAAGUCUUUACAUAUUUCUAAGGGGUCAUGCUUACUGCAUUAAGCACACUCUAUUUAAGCUGAGGAAUUUUUCUCUCUAAUUAAGUGUUGUGGAAUGACCAACUGGAAGAAGUCAGCUUGACCUCUGGAAUACUAAGAUAUGAAGGAAAAGAAGUCCUCAGCAAAGAAACACCAGCGUUUGCCUUAACAGCAGGGAGGACAAGAAGGACAUUUGUAGCAAGGGCUCCCUUGCGAUAUCACGCUAACCUCAUCGAAUACCGACACCC